rnacentral:tRNA from 1 species
AUCUUUCUAGUACUAAACCAGUACAAAUGACUUCCAAUCAUUUAGUCUUGGUUAAAAUCCAAGGAAAGAUA